AGAGUUUGAUCAUGGCUCAGAACGAACGCUGGCGGCGUUAACACAUGCAAGUCGAGCGAGAAAUCCCGCUUCGGUGGGAGAGUAAAGCGGCGCACGGGUGAGUAACGCGUGGGUAAUCUACCCUCGAGUCUGGGAUAACCCCGCGAAAGCGGGGCUAAUACCGGAUAAGACCACAGUUAUAUCAUGACAGUGGUAAAAGGUGGUCUCUCCAUGGAAGCUAUUGCUUGGGGAUGAGCCCGCGUCCUAUCAGCUUGUUGGUAGGGUAAUGGCCUACCAAGGCUAAGACGGGUAGCUGGUCUGAGAGGACGACCAGCCACACUGGGACUGAGAUACGGCCCAGACUCCUACGGGAGGCAGCAGUGGGGAAUAUUGCGCAAUGGGGGAAACCCUGACGCAGCGACGCCGCGUGGGUGAUGAAGGCCUUCGGGUUGUAAAGCCCUGUUAGGUGGGAAGAAAAUCCCUAUGGUUAAUACCCAUAGGGAUUGACGGUACCAUCAGAGGAAGCACCGGCUAACUCCGUGCCAGCAGCCGCGGUAAUACGGAGGGUGCAAGCGUUGUUCGGAAUUACUGGGCGUAAAGGGGGUGUAGGCGGUCGUGCAAGUCGGAUGUGAAAACCCUCGGCUCAACCGAGGAAGUGCAUUCGAAACUGCUCGACUUGAGUAUGGGAGAGGAAGGCGGAAUUCCCGGUGUAGCGGUGACAUGCGUAGAUAUCGGGAGGAACACCGGUGGCGAAGGCGGCCUUCUGGCCCAAUACUGACGCUGAGACCCGAAAGCGUGGGGAGCAAACAGGAUUAGAUACCCUAGUAGUCC
rnacentral:rRNA from 1 species